rnacentral:rRNA from 1 species
CCUACGGGGGGCAGCAGUGGGGAAUAUUGCGCAAUGGGCGAAAGCCUGACGCAGCGACGCCGCGUGAGGGAUGAAGGUCUUCGGAUCGUAAACCUCUGUCAGCAGGGAAGAACGGUCACUGUGCUAAUCAGCAGUGAAUUGACGGUACCUGCAAAGGAAGCACCGGCUAACUCCGUGCCAGCAGCCGCGGUAAUACGGAGGGUGCGAGCGUUAAUCGGAAUUACUGGGCGUAAAGCGCUCGUAGGCGGUAUGUCAAGUCAAGGGGGAAAUCCCCGCGCUCAACGUGGGAACUGCCUUUGAAACGGGCAAACUGGAGUGUGUGAGAGGAUAGUGGAAUUCCAGGUGUAGGAGUGAAAUCCGGAGAUAUCUGGAGGAACAUCAGUGGCGAAGGCGACUAUCUGGCACAUAACUGACGCUGAGGAGCGAAAGCGUGGGUAGCAAACAGGAUUAGAUACCCUAGUAGUC